CACGUAGGGGCGAGCGUUGUCCGGAAUUACUGGGCGUAAAGGGCGCGCAGGCUGUUAUGCGAGUCUGCUGUGAAAUGUACCGGCUCAACCGGUGCCUUGCGGCGGAUACUGCAUAGCUGGAGUACUGGAGAGGGAAGUGGAAUUCCCGGUGUAGCGGUGAAAUGCGCAGAUAUCGGGAGGAACACCAAUGGCGAAGGCAGGUCUCUGGGCAGUUACUGACGCUGAGGAGCGAAAGCAUGGGUAGCGAACAGGA
rnacentral:rRNA from 1 species